GCACGGUGUAGCCUUCACACGCGGGCCGGCCUUAGGAGUACUCUCUACAGCAACCGGCAGCCACAUCCGGAUCAAAAAGUCCCGAAACGCGCGUGCUCGGCUCGUUUUCCUCCGUUCCUCGUGUCACGCAAGCUACACCCGAGCAGAGCUCCGCCGCCGUCUGCUGCAUGUGCGGCGACCACGGCCUGCCGCACGAGCUGUUCCGGUGCAACCUCUGCAGCCUCCGGCUGCAGCACAGGUACUGCAGGUCUGCAGCGACCUGUACCCGAGGGUGCCGGGGCCGUACUGGAGAUGCAACUGGUGCCUCAGCGAGGGCGGCGGCGGGAGGAGCGAAGCGGAGGCCGAACGGUUCUCGGGACGAUGACGACCCGAUCAGGAGGAGAGGCCGUGGGGCGGCGGUGGAUGCACCAGGUCAGCCUUCUCGGCGGAUCCUGGAAAGCCGGUCAAGAAGCCCCAGAGGGGCCGCGCGAGGGCGGCGCAGCGGCGGGCGGCAACGACGGCGCCGAAGAAAAGAAGGGAGGUGCAGCAGGCCGGCGGCGGCGGCAAGGCGCGGUUCAGGGCGAAGGUGCGCCGGUACAAGCUCCUCGCGGAGGUGAUCUGCUAGUGAACAGGGAAGAGAUCGGCUGCAGUACUGCAGCCUGCGGUGCGCACGUCCAUCUUAAAUCCAACGAUUCUCCUAUUUUCUCCAUCCACGUUGUGUACAUACGGGCCCAAGAUAAGGCCCAGCUUCUUUCCUUUCGUCUCUUGGGAGCUGGGAUCGUUGUUCCCCUUUCUCUCUGUCCUUGCAGCUUCAGGCAAAUCGACGCCGCCGCCGCCGCCGCCGAAUCACGUCCGCGCGAUGCUGCUGUCAAAAUGGAGCCGAAGCUCGACCCCAAGGCUGGCAAGCUCGCUGCAGAGUCCGGGGGCUCUCCGCUUAUCACACCUCGCCGGGGCGCCUGGCCCUCUCGCGGUCGCUGCGAGUCUGGACGGAACUACAUCAAGCUAUCAAGGAACAAAAUACAGGGGUCAACAACAAAAUAGCUCUCCCGAUUUGCUCAAGAACUAAAAGAAUCUCUCAAAUUUCAGAUCAUCACUGCUUGCCCCGUUCAAUAGUUGAGUGAAGGAGCUGAUGGUCCAAUAUUCUUCAGAGUCCCUGUGUUUGUCACUGCUUGCUUCUUUCCCAAUAUCUUGUGCCUUGCGAGAAUAGAAAGUCGAAAGAGAGAGCAUCAGCGCACGAAAAUGUAUAAUAAUGAUGUAAUGCACUUGUUAAAGAAAUUUGACAUACCAUUGGUAUUUGUACAGAUACAAGAGUUUUUCUUUGUCCUUUUUUCCUCCCUUUGUACUUUUCUUCCCAACCAAGUUUUUGUCUCUUUGAACUUCU